GCCCCGCUCUUGCCUCCUAGGGACCUCUCCAGGCCCAGCUCUCGCCCCCACGGCGGCCUCCCGGGGCCAAGUCCCUGCCUGCCUCCCGGCAGCCCGCGUGCGGCCCAGUUCCUCCCUCACGGUGGCCUGUUGAUGCCCAACUCAUGCCUCUGACACCCUGCCCAGAGGCGUGAGUCCCUGCCUCACACUGGCUCCUCCCACGCUGAGAGGUCGGCGUGAGCCCCUUGCCUCACACCGGCCCCUCCCAUGCUGAGAGAGGUCGGCGUGAGCCCCUUGUCUCGCACCGGCCCCUCCCACGCUGAGAGAGGUCGGCCUGAGCCCCUUGCCUCGCACCGGCCCCUCCCACGCUGAGAGAGGUUGGCGUGAGCCCCUUGCCUCACACUGGCCCCUCCCACGCUGACCCCUUGCCUCACACCAGCCCCUCCCACGCUGACAGAGGUCGGCGUGAGCCCCUUGCCUGACACUAGCCCCUCCCACGCUGACCCCUUGCCUCACACCGGUCCCUCCCACGCUGAUCCCUUGCCUCACACCGGCCCCUCCCAUGCUGACAGAGGUCAGUGUGAGCCCCUUGCCUCACACUGGCCCCUCCCACGCUGAUCCCUUGCCUCACACCGGCCCCUCCCAUGCUGACAGAGGUCAGCGUGAGCCCCUUGCCUCACACCGGCCCCUCCCACACUGACAGAGGUCAGCGUGAGCCCCUUGCCUCACACCGGCCCCUCCCACACUGACAGAGGUCAGCGUGAGCCCCUUGCCUCACACCGGCCCCUCCCACACUGACAGAGGUCAGCGUGAGCCCCUUGCCUCACACCGGCCCCUCCACACUGACAGAGGUCAGCGUGAGCCCCUUGCCUCACACCGGCCCCUCCCACGCUGACCCCUUGCCUCACAGCGGCCCCUCCCACACUGACCCCUUGCCUCACACUGGCCCCUCCCAUGCUGAGAGAGGUCGGCAUGAGCCCUUGCUUCACACCGGCCCCUCCCAGGCUGAGAGAGGUCAGCGUGAGCCCCUGCCUCAACAGGCCACCGUGAGGGAGGAGCAGGGCCGCACGCAGGCUGCCGGGAGCAGGCAGGGACAUGGCCCCGGGCGGCCGCGGUGGGGCGAGAGCUGGGCCUGGGGACGCCCCUGGGAGGCAACAGUGGGGCCUGCAGACGCUCUUCUCCUGCCAGAGCUGGGACUGUACAGGCCACUGGGAGGCAGGAUGUGGGCCUGAAGAGCUUGGCUGCAGAAACUUCGGGGUCUACAAACGCCGGCGGGAGCUGAGCCAAAAGAGCUUGCUUGCUGGGAGGCAGGGGGUGGGCCGGGAGAUGCAGCCGGGAGGAACAGCUGGGCCUGCAGAGGCCGCCAUGCGGGAGGCAGAGGCCAGGCCUCUCCAGACCCACUUGCAACCUCCCGGCGUCCUCUCCGGGCCCAGCUCUUCCUCCCGGCUGCGUCUCUAGGCCCGACUCCGGCCUCCCAACAACCUCUUUGGACUCAGCUCCUGCCCAGCUCCCAGUGGCCCUGGUAGGCCCACAACUUCCUGAAGCCAAGCUCCCCAGGCCCAGGUCAGGCCUCACGGUGGCCUCGCCAGGCUCAGCUCCUGCCCUCCGAUGGCAUCUCCAGGUCCCAAACGGCCUCCGGUCGGUGGGCUCCUCUAGGCCCAGCUUGGGCCUCCCGGCGGCCUCUGCAGGCCCAAAUCGUCCUGAAGUCGGCCUCUCCAGGUCCAGCUCCAGCCUCCCGGCAGCCUCUGCAGGCCUAAGUUGUCCUCAAGUCGGCCUGGAAGUGGGCCUGGAAGAGCUGCAAGUUGGCCUCCCUGGGCCCAGCUCCGUCCUCUUGGCCUCUCCAGGUGCAAAACUUCCUCGAGUCAGCCUCUCCAGGCCCAGCUCCUCCUGCCUCCCAGUGGCCUCUUUUGGCCCAGCCCAGCUCAUGGCUCUCAGCAGCCUUCCCAGGCCCCGCUUUUGACUUUUGGUGGCCUCUUCAGGCCCAGAACUUGACCUCCAGUCGGCCUUUGCAGGCCCGGCUUCCUGCCUCUCGAAGGCCUGCACGGGCCCAGCCUCAGCCUCACAGCGGACUCUCCACGCCCAGCUAGCUCUCGCCUCACUGCGGCCUCCCCAGUCGAAAGCUCCUGCCUUUCGGCCGCUUUGGCAGGCCCAGCUCCUGCCUGCCAGUGGCCUCUUUAGGCCCAGCUCAUUCCUCACAACGGCCUUUCCAGGCCCCGUUUUUCCCUUCCGGCAGCCUUUUGGCCUCUAAUUUGUUUAUCUUUUGUGUAUAAAUCCCAAAAUAUGGAAUUUUGGAAUAUUGCUACCAUUAUAUAAAUAUUUUCGUAUGUAAUUUAUUUGGAGUGAGUUUCUGCACCAAGCCUGAAUUUUUUAUUUUAUUUUCCUUAUUAUUUGGUGUUAAACAGGUUUAAUGACGGUCAUGGCAACUUUUUGGCACAAUGAAAAAUACCACCCA
rnacentral:lncRNA from 1 species